CAGUGUUAAAAGGUUAAAAUCGUGCUCCAAAUCCAUCACGAUACAUGAAGACAUCACACCUACGACUCCACUGUAUCACGGAGAAAAGUGUCAAAUCCCGUCAGAGAUCUCUCGUCAUGUGAGCGGCUGAGCGGUGGCGAAACAUGAAGAAAAGCUCCACGAUCAUCCCCCCCUCUUCAUUAACAGGCACUGCGGGGGUUACAGGCCCGCAGAGCCACGCCGGCCACCGUCCUCCAG